GAUGAACGCUGGCGGCGUGCCUAAUACAUGCAAGUCGAGCGAACAGACGAGGAGCUUGCUCCUCUGACGUUAGCGGCGGACGGGUGAGUAACACGUGGAUAACCUACCUAUAAGACUGGGAUAACUUCGGGAAACCGGAGCUAAUACCGGAUAAUAUAUUGAACCGCAUGGUUCAAUAGUGAAAGACGGUUUUGCUGUCACUUAUAGAUGGAUCCGCGCCGCAUUAGCUAGUUGGUAAGGUAACGGCUUACCAAGGCAGCGAUGCGUAGCCGACCUGAGAGGGUGAUCGGCCACACUGGAACUGAGACACGGUCCAGACUCCUACGGGAGGCAGCAGUAGGGAAUCUUCCGCAAUGGGCGAAAGCCUGACGGAGCAACGCCGCGUGAGUGAUGAAGGUCUUCGGAUCGUAAAACUCUGUUAUUAGGGAAGAACAAAUGUGUAAGUAACUAUGCACGUCUUGACGGUACCUAAUCAGAAAGCCACGGCUAACUACGUG
rnacentral:rRNA from 1 species